rnacentral:rRNA from 1 species
AUUGAACGCUGGCGGCAUGCUUUAUACAUGCAAGUCGUGCGGCAGCGCGGGGGCAACUCUGGCGGCGAGCGGCGAACGGGUGAGUAAUACAUAGGAACGUAUCCUGAAAUGGGGGAUAGCUCGGCGAAAGCCGGAUUAAUACCGCAUACGCUCCACGGAGGAAAGCAGGGGAUCGCAAGACCUUGCGUUUCUGGAGCGGCCUAUGUCUGAUUAGCUAGUGGCGGGGUAAUAGCCCACCAAGGCGACGAUCAGUAGCUGGUCCGAGAGGAUGAUCAGCCACACUGGGACUGAGACACGGCCCAGACUCCUACGGGAGGCAGCAGUAGGGAAUUUUGGACAAUGGGGGCAACCCUGAUCCAGCCAUGCCGUGUGAGUGAAGAAGGCC